GACGAACCGUGCGAACGUUUAUUCGGAAUCACUGGGCUUAAAGGGUGCGUAGGCGGGUUGCCAAGUCUGUGGUGAAAUCCUCCAGCUUAACUGGAGAACUGCCGUGGAUACUGGCGACCUCGAGGGGUGUAGGGGCUUGCGGAACUGUGCGUGGAGCGGUGAAAUGCGUUGAUAUGCACAGGAACUCCGGUGGCGAAAGCGGCGAGCUGGACACCUUCUGACGCUGAGGCACGAAAGCUAGGGGAGCGAACGGG
rnacentral:rRNA from 1 species